GACGAACCGUCCAAACGUUGUUCGGAAUCACUGGGCUUAAAGGGCGCGUAGGCGGGUAUUCAAGUCAGGGGUGAAAUCUUUCGGCUUAACCGGAAAAGUGCCCCUGAUACUGAAUGUCUCGAGGGAGGUAGGGGUCUGUGGAACUUCUGGUGGAGCGGUGAAAUGCGUUGAUAUCAGAAGGAACGCCGGUGGCGAAAGCGACGGACUGGACCUCUUCUGACGCUGAGGCGCGAAAGCUAGGGGAGCGAACGGG
rnacentral:rRNA from 1 species